rnacentral:rRNA from 1 species
UACGUAGGGCGCAAGCGUUGUCCCGAAUUAUUGGGCGUAAAGAGCUCGUAGGCGGCUUGUCACGUCGGGUGUGAAAGCCCGGGGCUUAACCCCGGGUCUGCAUUCGAUACGGGCAGGCUAGAGUGUGGUAGGGGAGAUCGGAAUUCCUGGUGUAGCGGUGAAAUGCGCAGAUAUCAGGAGGAACACCGGUGGCGAAGGCGGAUCUCUGGGCCAUUACUGACGCUGAGGAGCGAAAGCGUGGGGAGCGAACAGG